rnacentral:rRNA from 1 species
UACGUAGGGUGCAAGCGUUGUCCGGAAUUAUUGGGCGUAAAGAGCUCGUAGGCGGUCUGUCGCGUCGGAUGUGAAAAUCCGGGGCUCAACCCCGGACUUGCGGUGGGUACGGGCAGACUAGAGUGUGGUAGGGGAGACUGGAAUUCCUGGUGUAGCGGUGAAAUGCGCAGAUAUCAGGAGGAACACCGAUGGCGAAGGCAGGUCUCUGGGCCACUACUGACGCUGAGAAGCGAAAGCGUGGGGAGCGAACAGG